rnacentral:misc_RNA from 1 species
UUUUCAUUGGUGAACCUGCGGAAGGAUCAUUCUCACGACCCUGACCAAAACAGACCACGCUCACGUCAUCCAAUCCGCCAGCGACGGCACCGUCCAUCGCUCGGCCAAGUCCUCGACCACCUCCCCUCCUCGGAGCGGGGGCUCGGGGUAAAAGAACCCACGGCGCCGAAGGGGUUAAGGAGCACUGUGCCUAACCCGGGGGCAUGGCUAGCUUGCUAGUCGUCCCCCGUGUUGCAAAGCUAUUUAAUCCAUGUGACUCUCGGCAAUGGAUAUCUCGGCUCUC